rnacentral:rRNA from 1 species
AUUGAACGCUGGCGGAAUGCUCUACACAUGCAAGUCGAACGGCAGCACGGACUUCGGUCUGGUGGCGAGUGGCGAACGGGUGAGUAAUGUAUCGGAACGUGCCCAGUCGUGGGGGAUAACGUAGUGAAAAUUACGCUAAUACCGCAUACGAUCUAUGGAUGAAAGCGGGGGAUCGCAAGACCUCGCGCGAUUGGAGCGGCCGAUUUCAGAUUAGGUAGUUGGUGGGGUAAAGGCCCACCAAGCCAACGAUCUGUAGCUGGUCUGAGAGGACGACCAGCCACACUGGAACUGAGACACGGUCCAGACUCCUACGGGAGGCAGCAGUGGGGAAUUUUGGACAAUGGGCGAAAGCCUGAUCCAGCCUUUCCGCGUGCAGGAUGAAGGCCCUCGGGUUGUAAACUGCUUUUGUACAGAACGAAAAGGUUUCUACAAAUACUAGGAGCUCAUGACGGUACUGUAAGAAUAAGCACCGGCUAACUACGUGCCAGCCGCCGCGGUAA